rfam:Daphnia pulex DAPPTscaffold_868_Cont11301, whole genome shotgun sequence.
GAUAGUGUGGUCAAGUGGUCUAUGGCGAUGGUUCUAGGCACCAGUCUCUUCGGAGGCAAGAGUUCUAAUCCCUUCGCUGUCA